AGAAACAGAAGCAUUAUGCUGGUGAGCAUAGAAGGGUCCUGCCCGGCUAUGCCUUGCUGGUUAAACCAUUUUGUGCACUGUGAAUGUCUCUGGCGGGUGGACGGCGGAAGUCUUUUCUGUCGUUUGUCAGCUCUGGGCAACCAAAGCCGUGGACAACCCGCCAACCACGUCCUACUCCUUUUUGUGAACGUACUGUCUGACAUUGCAAUCUUUAGCACAAUGUAAUAAAA
rnacentral:misc_RNA from 1 species